rnacentral:lncRNA from 1 species
CUCCUACUGAUCGAGGAUCUCAGCCACAAACAGAAGAAGCUAUAAAUAAUCAGCCGACUGUAAGGGUGAUCAACAUGAUCUUCGAACGAUCAAACUGGGGGAUAACUUUCGAAGAAGAGUGAGCGAAAAGACGAUGACUCAAUAAUGUAAUAAUUUUUUUGAAAAAAGAUGUUUGAAAGAUUCAGACUCCCCAUGAUGAUGCUAUUAUUGUUUCAACAAUAAUAGCUAAUUAUGAUGUAAAAAGAAUCCUUGUAGAUAAUAGAAGUUCGACUAAUAUUCUCUUUUACUCGACUUUCUUCCGAAUGCAACUACCGAC